rnacentral:rRNA from 1 species
AAGUCGUAACAAGGUCUCCGUUGGUGAACCAGCGGAGGGAUCAUUACCGAGUUUACAACUCCCAAACCCCUGUGAACAUACCUAUACGUUGCCUCGGCGGAUCAGCCCGCGCCCCGUAAAAAGGGACGGCCCGCCCGAGGACCCCUAAACUCUGUUUUUAGUGGAACUUCUGAGUAAAACAAACAAAUAAAUCAAAACUUUCAACAACGGAUCUCUUGGUUCUGGCAUCGAUGAAGAACGCAGCAAAAUGCGAUAAGUAAUGUGAAUUGCAGAAUUCAGUGAAUCAUCGAAUCUUUGAACGCACAUUGCGCCCGCCAGUAUUCUGGCGGGCAUGCCUGUUCGAGCGUCAUUUCAACCCUCAAGCUCAGCUUGGUGUUGGGACUCGCGGUAACCCGCGUUCCCCAAAUCGAUUGGCGGUCACGUCGAGCUUCCAUAGCGUAGUAAUCAUACACCUCGUUACUGGUAAUCGUCGCGGCCACGCCGUAAAACCCCAACUUCUGAAUGUUGACCUCGGAUCAGGUAGGAAUACCCGCUGAACUUAAGCAUAUC